rnacentral:rRNA from 1 species
ACUCCUGCGGGAGGCAGCAGUGAGGAAUAUUGGACAAUGGGUGGAAGCCUGAUCCAGCCAUCCCGCGUGCAGGAAGACGGCCCUACGGGUUGUAAACUGCUUUUAUCUGGGGAUAAACCUACUUACGUGUAAGUAGCUGAAGGUACCAGAAGAAUAAGCACCGGCUAACUCCGUGCCAGCAGCCGCGGUAAUACGGAGGGUGCAAGCGUUAUCCGGAUUUAUUGGGUUUAAAGGGUCCGUAGGCGGACUGAUAAGUCAGUGGUGAAAUCCGACAGCUUAACUGUCGAACUGCCAUUGAUACUGUUAGUCUUGAGUAAGGUUGAAGUGGCUGGAAUAAGUAGUGUAGCGGUGAAAUGCAUAGAUAUUACUUAGAACACCAAUUGCGAAGGCAGGUCACUAAGUCUUAACUGACGCUGAUGGACGAAAGCGUGGGGAGCGAACAGGAUUAGAAACCCGAGUAGUCCCAUGAU